CGUUAGCUCAGUUGGUUAGAGCAGGGGACUCAUAAUCCCUUGGUCAUUGGUUCAAGUCCAAUAC
rnacentral:tRNA from 1 species